rnacentral:rRNA from 1 species
AUGGAGAGUUUGAUCCUGGCUCAGGAUGAACGCUGGCGGUAUGCCUAACACAUGCAAGUCGAACGCGAGCUUCGGCUCGAGUGGCAGACGGGUGAGUAACACGUAAGAAUCUGCCUUUAGGAAGGGGACAACAGUUGGAAACGGCUGCUAAUACCCUAUAUGUCGUAAGAUGAAAGGUUUUCCGCCUAAAGAGGAGCUUGCGUCUGAUUAGUUAGUUGGUAAGGUAACGGCUUACCAAGACGAAGAUCAGUAGCUGGUUUGAGAGGAUGAUCAGCCACACUGGAACUGAGACACGGUCCAGACUCCUACGGGAGGCAGCAGUGGGGAAU